rnacentral:rRNA from 1 species
UAAGUAACCUGCCUUUCACAGGGGGAUAACUAUUGGAAACGAUAGCUAAUACCGCAUAGGUGCAACCAUCGCAUGGUGGAUGCAUUAAAGAUGCUACGGCAUUGGUAAGAGAUGGACUUAUGGCGCAUUAGCUAGUUGGUGAGGUAACGGCUCACCAAGGCGACGAUGCGUAGCCGACCUGAGAGGGUGACCGGCCACACUGGGACUGAGACACGGCCCAGACUCCUACGGGAGGCAGCAGUAGGGAAUUUUCGGCAAUGGGCGAAAGCCUGACCGAGCAACGCCGCGUGAAGGAAGAAGGUCUUCGGAUUGUAAACUUCUGUUAUAAAGGAAGAACGAAUAUUGGAGGGAAUGCCAGUAUUAUGACGGUACUUUAUCAGAAAGCCACGGCUAACUACGUGCCAGCAGCCGCGGUAAUACGUAGGUGGCAAGCGUUAUCCGGAAUUAUUGGGCGUAAAGAGGGAGCAGGCGGCAAUAAAGGUCUGCGGUGAAAGACUGAAGCUUAACUUCAGUAAGCCGUGGAAACCAAAUAGCUAGAGUGCAUUAGAGGAUCGUGGAAUUCCAUGUGUAGCGGUGAAAUGCGUAGAUAUAUGGAGGAACACCAGUGGCGAAGGCGACGAUCUGGGAUGCACUGACGCUC